UUAGACACUUCCGGUUAGACCCAUAAUUUUUCUUUAUUGUUCAUAUGGUUGCAUAAUUUCUGCUUCAGUUAGUGGUACUUCAUAGUUUCAUUUUUUAGCUUGUUCCAUUUUUCUGUGAAUGGUAUGAAAAGAAUCAAUAUUUAGACCCCACUGGGUAUGUUGUUGUUUUACUGUGAUUAUACACUGGUUAAUGUUUUUUUUUUCCAUAUUGGAUUAUUUAAAAAGAUGAUUGGCAGAGCAGAUGGGUGAAGUCUGACUGGAAAAGGAGUGAAGGGAAAGCAGGCUCCUUUAAGCAUACAGCUGGGAAAUGGGCUGGUGAUCCUGAUGAUAAAGGUAUUCAGACGUCAACCGAUGCCAAACAUUUCGCCAUCUCUGCUAAGAUACCAGAAUUUAGCAACAAGAAUAGAACAUUGGUUGUACAGUACUCUAUAAAGCUUGAGCAAGACAUUGAAUGUGGUGGAGGUUACAUAAAGCUUCUCUCUGGAUAUGUCAACCAGAAGAAGUUCGGGGGAGAUACUCCUUACAGUAUGAUGUUUGGACCGGAUAUCUGUGGUACACAGACGAAGAAACUUCAUGUUAUACUUUCCUACCAAGGCCAGAAUUAUCCAAUCAAAAAGGAUCUGCAAUGUGAGACAGACAAGUUAACCCAUUUCUACACAUUCAUUCUUAGACCUGAUGCAUCAUACAGCAUCUGGAUAGAUGGCCGAGAGAGGGAUUCUGGAAGCAUGUAUACAGACUGGGAUAUCUUUCCCCCUCGAAAAAUUAAAGAUGUAAAUGCGAAAAAGCCUGCAGAUUGGGAUGAUAGAGAAUAUAUAGAGGAUCCAAACGAGGUCAAACCAGAGGGAUAUGAAUCUAUUCCAAAAGAGAUCCCUAACCCAAAAGCUAAAAAGCCUGAUCACUGGGAUGAUGAAGAGGAUGGCAUCUGGAGACCACCAAAAAUUCCUAACCCAGCAUAUAAGGGUCCAUGGAAACGGAAGAAAGUGAAGAACCCUAACUAUAAAGGUAAAUGGAAGACCCCUUGGAUCGAUAAUCCAGAAUUUGAAGAUGAUCCUGAUCUCUAUGUGUUGAAGCCUAUCAAAUAUGUUGGAAUCGAAGUUUGGCAGGUGAAGGCAGGUUCUCUAUUUGACAACAUACUGAUAUGUGAUGACCCUGAUUAUGCAAAGAAAGUGAUUGAGGAAGUCUUUGCUAAUAGGGAGACUGAAAAGGAGGCUUUUGAGGAGGCAGAGAAAGUGAGAAAAGCAAAAGAGGAAGAGGAAGCUCAAAGAUCAAGAGAGGAAGGUGAACGGAGGAGACGAGAAAGGGGUAGGGACAGACACCGGGACAGAUACAAGAGGCGCUACCACCAUGAUUAUAUGUAUGACGAUCAUGAUGAACUUUAAUUUGGUGUUAAGACCAUAUACUACAUUUCCAGCAUGGACGCACAUACAUUUGGGGUUUAUUGUGUUCCUCUUGUUGUAUUUUGAUCUUAUUGUAGCUGUAAUUUUGCAAAAUGCUCAGGCGUCCGAUAAGAAGUGCAUAUGCCUCUAAAACUAUUAACUAUAUUUGAAAAUUGAGUGUCAGCUUUGGCUACCCAGAGUGAUUUUGAAAUAUGUUUCAG
rnacentral:misc_RNA from 1 species